rnacentral:rRNA from 1 species
UACGGAGGAUGCGAGCGUUAUCCGGAUUUAUUGAGUUUAAAGGGUGCGUAGGCGGGCUUUUAAGUCAGCGGUAAAAAUUCGGGGCUCAACCCCGUCCGGCCGUUGAAACUGGGGGUCUUGAGUGGGCGAGAAGAAGGCGGAAUGCGUGGUGUAGCGGUGAAAUGCAUAGAUAUCACGCAGAACCCCGAUUGCGAAGGCAGCCUUCCGGCGCCCUACUGACGCUGAGGCACGAAAGUGCGGGGAUCGAACAGG